GAUCACAGUGGACCUUGCUUCUCUUCUAAUAAUGAUUGGACUCUUCAUGUGUCAGCGGAGAAGAUGGUGUGUCCGUGACAGAACAGGUCUGUAAGGGAGAGAGAAGCAAAGAAAUGAGAUGACAGCCUGGAAUCAGAGAGAACUGUCCCUGUUCUUACCCAGUGCAUAGCUCAGACAACUCCAGCAGGUGUUCUUUCAUCAAAUGUGUCUACACUUCAACAACAGUUCAACUCUGGAUAUCAGAAAAAGAAGAUAAAUUUGAUAUGCCACACAAUGUAUAUGGAUAUGUGAAUUUUUUUUUUUUUUUUUUACAGA